rnacentral:pre_miRNA from 1 species
UGCCUAACUGGGUUAGGGCCCUGGCUCCAUCUCCUUUAGGAAAACCUUCUGUGGGGAGUGGGGCUUUGACCCUAACCCAGCUGGGCU